rnacentral:rRNA from 1 species
UACGGGGGGGGCAAGCGUUGUUCGGAAUUACUGGGCGUAAAGCGUGCGUAGACGGUCAAGUAAGUCGGGUGUGAAAGCCCCGGGCUCAACCUGGGAAUUGCAUUCGAGACUGCGUGGCUAGGGUGCGGAAGAGGGAAGCGGAAUUUCCGGUGUAGCGGUGAAAUGCGUAGAUAUCGGAAGGAACACCAGUGGCGAAAGCGGCUUCCUGGUCCAGCACCGACGUUCAGGCACGAAAGCGUGGGGAGCAAACAGG